ensembl:lncRNA
CCCCCCCGUUUGGUCUGGUUCGUCUGCUCUCCUGGUGUUUUUCCCUUGCGAGUUGUGUUUUAUUCUGAUAGAUAUGAAGCAUUAAAUAUGAAUGGAAAUUUCAAAGGAAAAAGGACAACCCUUGUAAGCUGAUGUGACAUGUCCUCUGCUGUUGUACAGUGAGUGUGUGUGUGUGUGUGUGUGUGUGUGUGUGUGUGAGAGCGAGAACUGUAGGGGGCAGUAGUGUGCGCUGACUGCGGGGUGCUAAAAUGACUUGUAAAAAAAAAAGAGAAGCUGGACUCAGAGGAGCCACAGCAAAAACACACACACACACAGUCAUCAGUGCAGUUUGGGAUUGCCUCGAAGAGGAGAAGAAAACCAAGAAAACCUGCACCUCCCACCUGAGAGAGACACACACACACACACACACACACACACACACACACACACACACAAACACACGGGCUGACACACACACAAACAAACACACGGGCUGGCGCACACACACACACACACACACAUGGGCUGUCACACCAUGCUGUCAACAUGAAGAGCCUGUCUCAGGAUGUGGCUGUAGCCUACUCCUCUCCAGAGAAAGAGGCAGAGUGUGUGUGUUUAACUGCAACCUGUUUCAACUCUUUCUGUCCAGUCUGUCUGUGUGUGUGUUUUACAGAUGAUCUACACUCUGUUCUCUGUCCCUACAGUUUAGCAUGUGUAUGUGCGUGUGUUUGAGGUCUGUUCCUUUCUGUCUGCAGUAAGAGUGUGUGUGUGUGUGUGUGUGUGUGAGGACCUGCGCCUCUUUUUCUUUGCAUUAAGAGUGUGUGUUUGUUUGAGGUGCUGAGCUCCUCUCCGCUCUGGCAUGGGGCUGGAGCAGUUCUUACUUGAAAAAGCCCAUUUCAGCCGAGUGUGUGUGUGUGUGUGUGUAGGCCAGACCUGAAGGCAUGAAAAGCACUGAUGAAGAGCCUGUGUGAGUGUGUGUGUGUGUGUGUGUGUGUGUGUUCUUUAAGCUAGAGCAAGUGUGUAGUGGUUUGCAUGUUUGUCUUUCGGAGACUCGCAGAUGGUUCAGCCAGUGUAGGUGCCUGUGUGUGUGUGUGUGUGUGUGAGCAGUGGUGUUCUCAUUCUGAUCUUAGCUCUUCACCAAUGCAGAUGUCUUGGUUUUCAGCUUUUGUUUGUUUUACUUGUACAAAAAUAUCCGAUUGUAAAAAAAAAAAAAAAAGAAAAGAAAAAAAAGAAGGGAUCACAGCUGAGAUCACCCCUGAUUUACUUUGGAUGGGAAGAAAUCUUGAAUGCUCCAUCACUGAGUAUUGUUUAUGUUGUUUUUUUUGUCCCUAAAGAAGUUUUCUACUUUAAAACUUAAUCUGGUUCAUCUAUCACAAGGUUGUCUCUGCGCCCCGCCACCACCUCCUCUCAGACACUGACUGUGAGGAAGUGUCAGGAUCUGUCACCUAACUGUUUCCGUGACGACAUAUCUGGAAAUGCCUUCAACAGUCACUUCAGUGCAUCUUUUUUUUUUUUUUUUUUUUUACGCGAGGGAAAAUGACUGACUGCCUUAAGUAUCAUGAUGCUCUUCUCUUCUCUCCUGCCACCCUCCCCCUCCAAUCAUCAGUGACUUUACCCAGGUGGGCAUCUGUGCCAGCAUGGGCAGGAGCAGGUGGGCAUCUGUGCCAGCUUGGGCAGGAGCAGCUGGACACUGGUCUGGGCUUUAGCCAGCAUGGACAGAAACAGGCGGGGACACUGGUCUGAUUUUGGGGAGUGUUUGCUGGUCCGUUCGCUGGGAUGUGGUGAUGGAGUGGGUGAGGGGUGGAGGAACCUGAUGUUGGGGUGACGUGUCCGUGUCUGUGUCUGUGAGGGGAACAGGAGAGGAGCCCUGAGGAACUUGUGACUGACUGCUCUCAUUAAUCAUUGUUUACCCAAGCAAUGGCUCUCUCCUGCGACCAGACCCGCUACAGCAGCAUCUGAGCGCGCUCAGCAGGACUCAAGCUGUUCUAGUGGUUUUAAGUGACCAUGAAGGAGCUGGCCUGUCCAGCAGGACCUGUGCAGUUUAAAGGCAAGGACUGCUCCUACCCGGAUGGGAUGGGAUGGGAUGGGAUGGGAUGGGACUACUCCUGCCCUGAUGGGGUUAGUGGGGGGUGGGGGACCAAAGCUGGGUCCAGCCCGUGGCAUUGGUAACACUGUUUCUGACAUGUCUCUGUCUCUGUCCCUCUCCCUUUCUCUCUCUCUCUCUCUCUCUCCGAAGGCGUUCUCUCCAUCAUUUAUGUGCUCUCUCCCUCUCUCUGAGGGCGUUCUCUCCAUCAUUUAUGUGCUCUGUCGCUGUGGCAGUGACGAAACUGAGAUUAUCUGUUGAAGGUUCAAGUGCAAUGGAACACCAAAGACCCAGUGUUAUGUGCAUUCAAAGAGAGGUCAAUAAACCCAGGGGCUGAGUGUAGAGGCUGCUUAUGUACGUUAUUUUAGACAGCUGUUUGUGUUAAUAAACAAGUCAAGUCACACCAUCAGUCAGCUUUCUGUGUUAAUAAACAAGUCAACUCACACUAUCAGUCAGCUUUCUGUGUUAAUAAACAAGUCAACUCACACUAUCAGUCAGCUUUCUGUGUUAAUAAACAAGUCAACUCACA